GACGGACGCUGGCGGCGUGCUUAACACAUGCAAGUCGAACGAUGAAGGAGAGCUUGCUCUCCGGAUUAGUGGCGAACGGGUGAGUAACACGUGACUAACCUGCCCCUUUCUCUGGGAUAACGCUCCGAAAGGAGUGCUAAUACCGGAUACGAACUCUGAACACAUGUUCGGAGUUGGAAAGUUUUUCGGAAAGGGAUGGAGUCGCGGCCUAUCAGCUUGUUGGUGAGGUAACGGCUCACCAAGGCGACGACGGGUAGCCGGCCUGAGAGGGCGACCGGCCACACUGGGACUGAGACACGGCCCAGACUCCUACGGGAGGCAGCAGUGGGGAAUAUUGCACAAUGGGCGCAAGCCUGAUGCAGCGACGCCGCGUGAGGGAUGAAGGUCUUCGGAUUGUAAACCUCUUUCAGUAGGGACGAAGUGAAAGUGACGGUACCUAAAGAAGAAGCACCGGCUAACUACGUGCCAGCCGCCGCGGUAA
rnacentral:rRNA from 1 species